rnacentral:rRNA from 1 species
CGGCGGACGGGUGAGUAAUACCUGGGAAGUCUGCCUGGUAGUGGGGGAGUAACGUUCGGAAACGGACGCUAAUACCGCAUACGUCCUACGGGAGAAAGCAGGGGAUCUUCGGACCUUGCGCUAUCAGAUGAGCCCAGGUCGGAUUAGCUAGUAGGUGGGGUAAAGGCUCACCUAGGCAACGAUCCGUAACUGGUCUGAGAGGAUGAUCAGUCACACUGGAACUGAGACACGGUCCAG